ensembl:snoRNA
GGUGUCCUGGAUCUGUCAGUACUACAGGCAUACCACAGCUACUCUGCUGUGCCUGUGACAUCAGGGCAAAGUGCAAGUAGCUAUUUCUAUGCUCAGUGUUCAGAAGCCAGUGAGCACUAAGAAUGGUACAUAGACUGACAUUU